CCAACGGGGGGCUGCAGCAACGAAUCUUCCCCAAUGGGCGAAAGCCUGAGGGAGCGACGCAGCGUGAAGGAUGAAGUACUUCGGUAUGUAAACUUCUGUUAGGGUUAUGAAAGCGAUAGGACCUAAUACGUCCUAAAGUUGAUCUGACCCAGAGAAAGGGACGGCUAACUCUGUGCCAGCAGCCGCGGUAAUACAGAGGUCCCAAGCGUUACUGAGAAUCACUGGGUUUAAAGGGUGCGUAGGUGGUCCGUUAAGUUCGUUGUGAAAUCCCUGGGCUCAACCCAGGAACUGCUUCGAAUACUGGCGGACUUGAGGCCGGUAUAGGUCACUGGAACAGAUGGUGGAGCGGUGAAAUGCGUAGAUAUCAGCUGGAACGCCGGUGGUGAAGACGGGUGACUGGGCCGGUUCUGACACUGAGGCACGAAAGCAUGGGGAGCGAACG
rnacentral:rRNA from 1 species